GAAGGUGUGAGGAGUAAGUUGAAAACAGAAAGCGCCUGGAGUCGAAACACGGCAAGACGUCCAGGCGCUUUUUGCU
rfam:Scytonema millei VB511283 scaffold_62, whole genome shotgun sequence.